rnacentral:rRNA from 1 species
GAUGAACGCUGGCGGCGUGCCUAAUACAUGCAAGUCGAGCGAACAGACGAGGAGCUUGCUCCUCUGACGUUAGCGGCGGACGGGUGAGUAACACGUGGAUAACCUACCUAUAAGACUGGGAUAACUUCGGGAAACCGGAGCUAAUACCGGAUAAUAUAUUGAACCGCAUGGUUCAAUAGUGAAAGACGGUUUUGCUGUCACUUAUAGAUGGAUCCGCGCCGCAUUAGCUAGUUGGUAAGGUAACGGCUUACCAAGGCAACGAUGCGUAGCCGACCUGAGAGGGUGAUCGGCAACACUGGAACUGAGACACGGUCCAGACUCCUACGGGAGGAAGCAGUAGGGAAUCUUCCGCAAUGGGCGAAAGCUUGACGGAGCAACGCCGCGUGAGUGAUGAAGGUCUUCGGAUCGUAAAACUCUGUUAUUAGGGAAGAACAAAUGUGUAAGUAACUAUGCACGUCUUGACGGUACCUAAUCAGAAAGCCACGGCUAACUACGUG